AAAAAAGUGGUGGCUUAAAAAGUAGUGACAAAAAUGAACCUUCUCCUGGAGAAGCUAUCCUUCCACAGAAAACCAAUCCAAAUGUGGAAGUCACUCUUGAUGGGCCAGCUGACCCACAGGCAGAUGUUCCCAGGAGUUCUGUUCUGUGCUAAAAUGGGCUUGUGGUUAAGUGAAAGAGAACUCUACCUAAGAAGUUCAUUGUGUUCUAAGUGGAAGGAGAGUUACUGAAGGGAAUGUGAAUUUUUACUGUUUGUACUUCAGAUACAUUUGUUGUCUAAAAUGGCUCUGGAUAACAUUUUUGGGUUAAAAAAUGUAAUUUAAAGCCACCAUAGAAAGUAUUUUCUGAUUUACUGUCCAAAUGAACUUUGUUGUUAAUUGAGAAGUCAAUAAAAUGGAUUAAACUGACAGAAAAAAACAUA
rnacentral:sRNA from 1 species